UACAGAGGUCUCAAGCGUUGUUCGGAUUCAUUGGGCGUAAAGGGUGCGUAGGCGGCGCCGUAAGUCAGGGGUGAAAUUUCGGAGCUUAACUCCGAAACUGCAUUUGAUACUGCGAUGCUUGAGGACUGGAGAGGAGACUGGAAUUUACGGUGUAGCAGUGAAAUGCGUAGAGAUCGUAAGGAAGACCAGUGGCGAAGGCGGGUCUCUGGACAGUUCCUGACGCUGAGGCACGAAGGCCAGGGGAGCAAACGGG
rnacentral:rRNA from 1 species